AUUGAACGCUGGCGGCAGGCCUAACACAUGCAAGUCGAACGAGUGGCGGACGGGUGAGUAAUGUCUGGGAAACUGCCUGAUGGAGGGGGAUAACUACUGGAAACGGUAGCUAAUACCGCAUACCAUCGGAUGUGCCCAGAUGGGAUUAGCUAGUAGGUGGGGUAAAGGCUCCCCUAGGCGACGAUCCCUAGCUGUGCUGAGAGGAUGACCUGCCACACUGGAACUGAGACACGGUCCAGACUCAUACGGGAGGCAGCAGUGGGUAAUCUUGGACAAUGUGCGCAAGCCUGAUGCAGCCAUGCCGCGUGUAUGAAGAAGGCCUUCGGGUUGUAAAGUACUUUCAGCGGGGAUGCGUUACCCGCAGAAGAAGCACCGGCUAACUCCGUGCCAGCCGCCGCGGUAAUUC
rnacentral:rRNA from 1 species